CCCCCGCCCCCGUCCCCGGUGUCACGCCGGUGUCCGGGCCCGGCGCCGCCUCCGGCCCUCCCUCCCACCUGCAACACGCUGUCUCCUGGUGGGUUCCGUCGUGGCGUCUCGCUGGAUUUGUAAAAUAGACUGGAGGAGAAAAAGAACACGCUGCGUUUUAUUCGAUGAUCCGGAACAGAUCCCGCAGCCUCACAGUGCUGUGCGUGGACGGCUUGGAAAGGCUCAGCGAAAAAAUAAACCCAGCAAACCGAAGUCUACCCAGUGCCCUUAAUAAAUGAACGACGUUCAAUCA